rnacentral:rRNA from 1 species
UACGAAGGGGCUAGCGUUGCUCGGAAUUACUGGGCGUAAAGGGCGCGUAGGCGGACAUUUAAGUUAGAGGUGAAAGCCCAGGGCUCAACCCUGGAAUAGCCUUUAAUACUGGAUGUCUUGAGUUCGGGAGAGGUGAGUGGAACUGCGAGUGUAGAGGUGAAUUCGUAGAUAUUCGCAAGAACACCAGUGGCGAAGGCGGCUCAGCUGGCCCGAUACUGACGCUGAGGCACGAA